AAGUCGUAACAAGGUUUCCGUAGGUGAACCUGCGGAAGGAUCAUUACAACGUAUCCACGUACAAACUCGCGAACUGUUCCCCUGUAGAGUAAACAACUUGUGGAUGAAGUUAAUGGCUGAGAGUCUCUUUCUGAUGGAUUUCUGGAUUUUUAUCUGAAACUGGGAGCUCUCAGUCGCUGGCAAGAAAUUGCUGGGACUUCGUUUACUCUGCUGCGGUAUUACCUCCCAUCAGAGGUGUUGUAUUAACCAAUUUAUUAACCCCAUGUAAAUUCUGAACUGAACUCUGUAGCCGAGUAACUGUCCUUGUUGGCUUCGGUCACGGACAUGCUGCUCAGUUACUAUCUUUAUCAAAAUAAAGAACAACUCUUAACAACGGAUAUCUUGGUUCUCGUAUCGAUGAAGAACGCAGCAAAAUGCGAUACGUAAUGCGAAUUGCAGAAUUCAGUGAAUCAUCAAAUCUUUGAACGCAAAUUGCGCUCUCGGGAUAGGCCUGGGAGCACGCCUCUUUGAGUAUCGAUUCCAACACAACUCGCAAGCGCGCUUGUUGCAAAACUCGCGCUGCCUGCGGAAACUGAGCAAUCUCGUGUCUAGCGAGAUGCUUCAAAUGCAGCGAGUGGCAUGAGUUUCUGAUUGACAGAAGACCCUGUCUCUGGUGACGAGGAUAACUUCACAUUCAGUUGUGAACCCUUCCAUCGUGACUAUUGAGGCAAGGAAAGCAGUUAAUCCAGUGCUCAACGUGUCACGGCACUCUCUGAUCGCCUUUCGUGCAAGCGGAAGUUGGGCAGAGAACUAUUUUGAACUAGAUCUCAAAUGAAGCGAGAAAACCCGCUGAACUUAA
rnacentral:rRNA from 1 species